GGUCCAUGGAGUUCCCACCAUUCUUCUCUAUAGAGACGAUCCAUCACAGACCAGAGUUCUCUGGACCUGAUCCUGGACCCAGUUGUGUGUCCUUCAAGAGUGACCGGUCCAAGGAGUUCCCACCAUUGUUUUCUACAGAGACAGUGGAGCAGCAGAGCUCAGAGGUUCCCACUGGUCUACAGGAUCAGACUCAGCUGGACU